rnacentral:misc_RNA from 1 species
GGAAAGAAAAAUAUGGGAGGAAAAGUCAUGGGACCGACAAAACAUUGUCACUCCAAAUAUGGAUAAAAAAUGGGAGGAAGGUGUAUAAAAUUCCCAUUGUAUCCUUUUAAUGACUUCUCCAGAAGAAAAAAUAUAAGAGUAAAAACAUAAUUUUACCCCUCCGAACCAAAUUUCUUUUGUAUUUUUUAUUUUCUAUCCAAACAAUAGGUGGAAAAUACCAUUUUUUGUUUCUUCACAUUUUACGGUUCAUUUUUGUUCCUCCCAUUUUCUUGCCUUCCUCUCCUUUUUUCCCAAAUAAGCUGUUAAAGAGUUAAACGAAAC